AGUGGUAAAACUAGCCUUCCAAGCU
rnacentral:tRNA from 7 species